rnacentral:rRNA from 1 species
GAUGAACGCUGGCGGCGUGCUUAACACAUGCAAGUCGAACGGAAAGGCCCAAGCUUGCUUGGGUACUCGAGUGGCGAACGGGUGAGUAACACGUGGGUGAUCUGCCCUGCACUUCGGGAUAAGCCUGGGAAACUGGGUCUAAUACCGGAUAGGACCACAUUUUGGAUGGUGUGGUGGAAAGUUUUUCGGUGUGGGAUGAGCUCGCGGCCUAUCAGCUUGUUGGUGGGGUACUGGCCUACCAAGGCGUCGACGGGUAGCCGGCCUGAGAGGGUGUACGGCCACAUUGGGACUGAGAUACGGCCCAGACUCCUACGGGAGGGAGCAGUGGGGAAUAUUGCACAAUGGGCGCAAGCCUGAUGCAGCGACGCCGCGUGGGGGAUGACGGCCUUCGGGGUGUAAACUCCUUUCGCUAGGGACGAAGCGUUUUUGUGACGGUACCUGGAGAAGAAGCACCGGCUAACUACGUG